rnacentral:rRNA from 1 species
UACAGAGGUCUCAAGCGUUGUUCGGAUUCAUUGGGCGUAAAGGGUGCGUAGGUGGCGCGCUAAGUCAGGUGUGAAAUUUCGGAGCUUAACUCCGAAACUGCAUUUGAUACUGGCGUGCUUGAGGACUGGAGAGGAGACUGGAAUUCACGGUGUAGCAGUGAAAUGCGUAGAUAUCGUGAGGAAGACCAGUGGCGAAGGCGGGUCUCUGGACAGUUCCUGACACUGAGGCACGAAGGCCAGGGGAGCGAAUGGG